AAAAAAAAACCUUUAAAAAUACAAGAUAAAUAAUUGGUUCUCUUAUAUUUUUUUUUAUUUUUUACAUACAGAAUAAUUAGCUAGUUCAGUUACAGAGCCAAUGCAUAACACCACCCACCUCAUCAGCUAGGCCAUACAAUACCAGAGAGAAGUCCAAAAAUCACUCCCAUUUAAUAGGAAGAACCAUUCAGCAGAACCAAGCUCUUAGGUUAAAGAAAAACAUAAAAGAGGAAGAACGAUCAACAAAACACAGACUACAGGAGAGAGAGGGCAUUGUUAAUGACGUUCAGCAGUGGCACAUAGACACGUGGAGAAGAAAUGCUGUGUCCAUCAUGGGAAGGCCUCCAACAGACUGAUGUAAGAUGCAUAACUAAGUGAUGUUUCAAAAAGGAACACUUUAAGGCUAACCUUAAAAACACAGGGGACGUCUGUCUCCUGAAUCCAAAGUGUAAAUGGUUCUACAAAGGAACCUGAGACUUGAAGGCUCUGCCUCGCAUUCUACUUUUAGAGGCUCUAGGAACGACAAGCAAGCCUGUAGUCGUUGAUCAAAGUGCUCUACUGGGAUAAUAUGGCACAGUGAGAUCUGUAAGUUAUCAUGGCACAUGAUAAUUCAAAACUUUGUAUCUCAGGAGAAAGAUUUUAACAUUAGAACCACCUGUGUAAUACUGUGUAGCUGACCUACCAUAGAUGAACACAAGACUUUGACAGUGAAUUCUUUCAGGAGGUUGGAGCGUUCAUGGAUUGUUGUCAGCAGUUUGUGCCGUUAACACAAGGGACGCUUCACAGUCACAGUAACAAUAAAUGCCAGAACCAUAGACUGCAUAUAAAACAUGAAUGUAGCUUUGGCGUUUGGAAAGUGAAGCCAGUAAUUCAGCUUUCAGUAUUCCUGAUGGCCGUGAGGAGGGAACUCAUUUGGUUUCGAAAAUAAUUCUUCUUCUAUGGAAGUCUGGAAAACAAAGACUUUGAUCCACAACCUCAGGAAACACUUUCCUGAUGAAUUCGUGGCCAGAGUCACUAGUUUCAAGUCUUAUUUAAUACAAUGUGACUUUCAUUGUAUAAAUUAUGUUCUCCUUUGUGUAACUGACAACUUGCAAGCCUUUGAGCGUGUGCCUCAAUUAAACAGUGAAAUCCACACUCACUUGUCACAUCCCAGAUUCAACAUGUCUAGACUGUCACGGCAAAAGUGCACAGCUUGAGGCUUCAUAACAAGUUUUUGCAAACUAAUGGAUGGACUCACAACAGUGACAGUCUGUGGCAUAAUGUUGCUUUCUAAAGAUAUGACCGGUGUUUUCUUUUGGCUUUUUUUUAUAUAUAUAUUUUCUCAUUUUUUUCUGAAUUACAAUAUAUGAGAUUAUUUUCUUGUUCAUCCCAUAAGAGCACUCAGUUUCAUAACAAGAAACCGAGGGUUCUUCAUGUCUGGUUCAGACAUGAAAUUAACCAAAACAUUGGUCCAACUCAUGCAUUUGCCACAACAAAGAAGGCAGAUGUUGUAAAUUCUCCUCAGCAUCAACUCCACAUGCCAUCGUCCCUAUUCUUCAUCUCAUUACUUGGCAUAUAUAAUCUCUGGUUGUACUGUGGCUUUUUGGGGCAGGGAGACAGAGUGAACUAUAAAGGGUUUUAUACAAGCUGAGGAGUGGAGUUAAACUGGAAGGCAGUCUGCAUGUUUGUAUGGAAACAAUUCUUUCAUGAGUUGCAAUUCUGUUUGAUUCCAGAUGUAAAAAGCCACAGGGAGAGAAAGAUGCAUAUCAGUCUUGACACCUAAAUCCAGGAUGAUGCUGCACUUGAAGUGCUAUCCUAACCUCACCGAAAAGACUACAUUUAGCAAAAGUAUUCUCUGUGCAUUUCUUUUCCUAAGCAAUAAUGAUUCUGAACAAGCAGGAUAGAAAUUCUUCCAGUUAUAUUAAAGGAUCCACAUACUUUUUUGGGGAAGAAAAGUGAGUUAGGUAACUUUAAACUUUGCAUAUUUGUUGGUGUAAGACAGGCUGGUCUGAGUAUUUCAGAAACUGUUGAUCUGCUAGGAUUUUCCCACACAACCAUCUCUGGGGAUUAAAAAGAGGAACAUAUGCAGUGAGCAGCAGUCCUUUGAGUAAAAAUGCCUUGUUGAUGUCAGAGGAGAAUGGCGAGACUGCUUCAAGAUAAUAGGAAAGCAGAAAUAACUCAAAUAACCACUCAUAUCAACCAAGGUGUGUAGAAAGACAUCUCUGAAUAACACAUUGAAUCCUGUAGCAGAUGGUCUACAACAGCAGAAGACUACAUCAGGUCCCACUCCUGUCAACUAAGACAGCACAGGCUCACCAAAAUUGGAAAUUAGAAGACUGGAAAAACAAUAUGAGCAACAUUCAGAAGGGAAGCACGUUUUCUUUCUGGCUGCUUCUCUGUGGUCUGACCAGGAACUAACUCAUCCUUAUUCUAGAAAGUGAACCACAACAUGUGGCAACAGAGCCCACAAACAUGAGCUCAUUCCUCUUGAGGGGAAACUAGCAACUGAAAAAAACAGAGAUAGAAAGAGAGAAAGUCCCAGUGUUCCUCUCCACAUCCAUUUGUCUUUGGACUACAUUCCUGCUCCUCUUCCUCAAAUGAAAUGGUUAUCCCUGCAAACAAUGAGAAGACUGAGCUGCAGGAGCAUCUGCAGCAUGUGAAGUGGGACAUGAAACAAAAAUUGGCUCACAAGGUCGAGGUCAACUUCAGCAUCAGCACAUUCUUUGAGCCAAGGCGUUGGAGAGAAAGCAGGCGCGAACUGAAAAUGGCCCUAGUCUCUUCCUAACAUGCUUUUAUUUCCCACAUACUUCGUGAUCAGCAGGCCUCAGUAUGUUAUCAGGUAAUACUGAGACAAACAGCUGCUUACGUGCUGAAAUGUGGAUGUAUUAUUUGAGAAAAGCAUUACACAUGAAUCAGAAGAACAAUACAUUUUGACCAAUAGGCUAACAAUUAAAGUAAACUCAUCAGUAUUAAAAAUACAGCUGGAAAGGUGAACUGUUCCUACUUUAAGAGCAAGUGCAAGUGCAGGCAGAUAUGUUGCAAAAUGUAUUUACCAUCAUAAUUAAAUACAAAAAAGAAUGUGCAGAAAAAAUCUGAACUCUAAACUCACACCUAUGAUAUUAAUUUAAAAAUCAUAGUUGACCUUUUCGAGUUAUUGUAACAAAAAAAGGAAAAAAGUCUUUUCUGUGGCUAAGUCCUCAAUUUUCCUUUAUUCCUUGUAAUGUUGUCAGUCUCCAUAUGAGUCACGUUGACCACGUGCUGUGUGCUUCAUGCUUUGCUCUGGAAUGUCAGGUUUCAAAUAGCAUGUACCCGAUAUUGCCUUGCCAUGCCAUGCCAGAGAUAUAAGAUUGUGUGUAACUGUAAAAUCAAAUGACUAUUAUUUAUUUGCAAUAAAAUAACAUAAAACACACACCAAAGUACACACAGGACUUUUUAUUAGUAAGUUACAAUGCGGACACAUGCACUGCCAAGGACAUUUAAAAAAAAAAUAAUACUAUGACAUUUCAUCAUGUUUCAGUUAAACAAGUUAAGAAUCAAGCAGUUAAGUAAGAAAAGAUUUUUUCUGUUUAUAACAAUUAGAACAUGUAUGAUUGAACACAGAAGAAACAUGCACUUUACUGCACUGCAACAUAGAAAAUUAUCCUAAG